rnacentral:rRNA from 1 species
GACGAACCGUGCGAACGUUAUUCGGAAUCACUGGGCUUAAAGCGCGUGUAGGCGGGGCGGCACGUCGGUCGCUGUAAGCCCCCGGCUCAACCGGGGAACGGGCGCCGAUACGACCGCCCUCGAGGGACGUAGGGGGACCUGGAACUUCCGGUGGAGCGGUGAAAUGCGUUGAGAUCGGAAGGAACGCCCGUGGCGAAAGCGAGGUCCUGGACGUCUGCUGACGCUGAGACGCGAAAGCCAGGGGAGCGAACGGG